AUGCUAUGUAAUAAUCAUAUAAUAGAAUCUUAGAUUUAGGGAUUCUCUAAUUUUGAAAAAUAAAUUUUGAUUUAUUUUAGUCUUCCGCUGCUUGAUUUUGAAAAAGUUUCAAGAUCUAACCCUGAAACCUUAGAUCUGGUUCCUUCAGAUAUAUGUGUCCCUCUGACCUGAGGCUGCCUUGGUGACUUGCAAGCAACUCACUAUACUUUGGUGCUGGACUAUCUGAAUUUUUAAUUUGAUGACGGA
rnacentral:lncRNA from 1 species